ensembl:lncRNA
UUAAACUUUCGUCUCAGAUUCGAAGGAUUUGUUAACAAAAGAAACCACUUGUCAUACACAAACAAUUCAGUAUUUAAUAGAUAAUUAUCUAACUUAUUUUCAAUAAACAAUCAUUAAAAGGAAAGAGAAACAAAACAGCAGAUACAUAACCAAAUUGGGUUUUUACCAACAUCCAGACUCAAACAGCACUGGGAAGUCCCAUGUAACAGCAGCAAUCUGAAACCCCCAAUUGGGAAAAGGUCCUAGGCAGUCUCCACUCCACGGGUGAGACUUCGAAAUUGCAGUUUGGGGGUUCCUGCUUAUAAUCCCAGGCUGCAAACUGAUAACAUCAUCUGUGAGCAAAUUGCAGCUCUGGUGUCACGUUAAUCUUUCACAAUGCUGUAUGUUUUAUCUUGCAAGUGUUGAUACUCUCUGGCCUGGGAGAUUGGAUCUCCAGAGCUCAGGAGAAUUCCAAGACCCACUCCCUAACUUAUCUCUGAGGCGGCCCAGGGGGCUGGUAACAGCCAGUGUACAUGCAGGCAGGCAAGUCGGGACAAGUCAGAGGUCUACUCUGCUUUCUUUGUUUCUGAAGCCUGAAAAAGACUACUUCCCUAACAGUCCCUGCAAUGCAGGAGACACAGAAGUGGGUUCAAUCCCUAGAUCAGGAAGAUCCCCUGGAGUAGGAAAGGGCAACCCACUCCAGUCUUCUUGCCUGGAAAAUCCCACGGACAGAGCACGGAGGACUACAGUGCAGGGUCGAAAACAGUUGCUUGUGGGAUCAAUUGUGAGGUUAGAGGUACAGGUGACGCUGUUUGUGAUAUCCUGGGUCACACAAGAAGCAUUAACUUAUUUUACCCACCAUGUCUGUAUUGAAAUCUCCCUCUGUUUUGAUUACUGAUUUAAGUUUGGAUUUUAAGAUUUUUGUUUAGAUAACUUUGUGAUUACACAGUUUUUUACAUUUAUGGUCUCUCCUCCACAUUUUGUCUACUAUUUGAAAAAAAAAAAAAGGUCAAAACCAUUAGUGACUUCAAAUAUAGAUUCUUUUGGUCUAGAUCCUGAAAAUUAAAACCUGGACUUCAAAUUCUAGAUGAUAUUGACAUAGUGGGGGGAUGAGAAUGAAGAGAAAUAAAACAAGCUAACAUAUUUAUGUUAUACUCAGGAGGAGGAUAUAGAUUAUUAUUCUAGAAGUUAGAAAAUUGUAAGUUUAAAUACACCUGUACAUACAAAAUGUAUAUGUAUAAAAGUUGACUUACAAUGUACUAAAUAUUUCAUAUUCAGAAAAGCGGAAAUCCAUUAAACAGUGAUCAAACCAGUUAAUCCUGAAGGAAAUCAAAUUCACGGAAGGACUGAUGCUAAAGGUGAAGCUCCAAUACUUUGGCCAUCUGAUGUGAAGAGCUCACUAAUUGGAAAAGACCCUGAUGCUGGGAAGAUUGGGGGCAGGAAGAGAAGGGGGCGACAGAGGAUGGAAUGGUUGGAUGGCAUCACUGAUUCAAUGGAAAAGAGUCUGAGCAAAUUCUGGGAGAUAGUGAAGGAUAGAGAAGUCUGGCAUGCUGCAGUUCACGGGGUUGCAGAUGUUAUGCCCAAGUUGAGAAAUCUCUCAAUGACCACCAGGGAGCCGGGAUCCGAUGCAAAAGCAA